AUUGAACGCUGGCGGCAGGCUUAACACAUGCAAGUCGAGCGGAGCGAGGGUGCUUGCACCUUAGCUUAGCGGCGGACGGGUGAGUAAUGCUUAGGAAUCUGCCUAUUAGUGGGGGACAACAUUCCGAAAGGAAUGCUAAUACCGCAUACGCCCUACGGGGGAAAGCAGGGGAUCUUCGGACCUUGCGCUAAUAGAUGAGCCUAAGUCGGAUUAGCUAGUUGGUGGGGUAAAGGCCUACCAAGGCGACGAUCUGUAGCGGGUCUGAGAGGAUGAUCCGCCACACGGGGACUGAGACACUGCCCAGACUCCUACGGGAGGCAGCAGUGGGGAAUAUUGGACAAUGGGCGGAAGCCUGAUCCAGCCAUGCCGCGUGUGAAGAAGGCCUUUUGGUUGUAAAGCACUUUAAGCGAGGAGGAGGCUCUUAAGGUUAAUACCCUUGAUGAGUGGACGUUACUCGCAGAAUAAGCACCGGCUAACUCUGUGCCAGCAGCCGCGGUAACAC
rnacentral:rRNA from 1 species